rnacentral:lncRNA from 1 species
AUACAUGGACUUUUGGUCCAACCCUAGAGCUUCUGAUUCUGUAAAUAAGGGCUGAGUCCUGAGAAUCUGCAUUUGAAUAAGUUCCUAGGAGAUGUUGCUGCUAGUCCCAAGGAAACAGUUUGAAGAAAUUGCUUUAAGCAAAUCUUAAGGUUAUUUGAUGUUUUCUGCUGCCUUUUUCUUACCAUUGUAAAUUUCUCUGCAGUAAACUUAAGAAUAAAUGGAAAAGUUUUGGCUUUUCUGUUUCAAAGCA